ACAAGACGGUGGAGCAUGUGGUUUAAUUCGAAGCAACGCGAAGAACCUACCAGGCCUUGACAUGCAGAGAACUUUCCAGAGAUGGAUUGGUUGCCUUCGGGAACGUCUGACACAGGUGCUGCAUGGCUGUCGUCAGCUCGUGUCGUGAGAUGUUGGGUUAAGUCCCGUAACGAGCGCAACCCUUGUCCUUAGUUACCAGCACGUUAUGGUGGGCACUCUAAGGAGACUGCCGGUGACAAACCGGAGGAAGGUGGGGGAUGACGUCAAGUCAUCAUGGCCCUUACGGCCUGGGCUACACACGUGCUACAAUGGUCGGUACAAAGGGUUGCCAAGCCGCGAGGUGGAGCUAAUCCCAUAAAACCGAUCGUAGUCCGGAUCGCAGUCUGCAACUCGACUGCGUGAAGUCGGAAUCGCUAGUAAUCGUGAAUCAGAAUGUCACGGUGAAUACGUUCCCGGGCCUU
rnacentral:rRNA from 1 species